rnacentral:rRNA from 1 species
UACGUAGGUGACCAGCGUUGUCCGGAUUUACUGGGCGUAAAGAGCGCGCAGGCGGUCGUUCAAGUCGCGUGUGAAAGCCCCCGGCUCAACUGGGGAAGGUCAUUCGAUACUGUUCGGCUCGAAGAUAGGAGAGGGAAGCGGAAUUUCAGGUGUAGUGGUGAAAUGCGUAGAUAUCUGAAGGAACACCAGUGGCGAAGGCGGCUUUCUGGCCUAUUCUUGACGCUGAGGCGCGAAAGCUAGGGGAGCGAACGGG